rnacentral:rRNA from 1 species
UACGUAGGGGGCAAGCGUUGUCCGGAUUUAUUGGGCGUAAAGAGCGUGUAGGCGGCCUGAAAGGUCAGCUGUGAAAACUCGGGGCUCAACCCCGAGACGUCGGUUGAAACCGUAUGGCUAGAGUCCGGAAGAGGAGAGUGGAAUUCCCGGUGUAGCGGUGAAAUGCGCAGAUAUCGGGAAGAACACCCGUGGCGAAGGCGGCUCUCUGGGACGGUACUGACGCUGAGACGCGAAAGCGUGGGGAGCGAACAGG